CUGAUGCACAGGCAAUCUUCUAAUACGAGGCUGACAAGGACGAUAACGGUACAGUUAACUUUGAGGAGUUCUGUCGUCUGCACGCGGCCCACGACGUGCCUGUGGAACAACAGGAGAUGGAGAUAGUAAACUGCAUCAACAAGGUGUUCCCCGGGGACCAGGAGGAGAUCCCGCUGCGCAAGGUCCAGCAGAUCAUGGAAAAAGUCAGUCUGCAGCGUGACGAGAGCUGCCUCACAAAAGAUGAUCUCCAUACUUUGGUCACCGACCUGGACAGAAACGGCAACGGCAUGGUCGACAGAAUAGAAUUCGCAAGGAUGUUGAUUGCACGUGACAGUUCAUAGGGAGUCACGUGACGUUCCAUCUGCAGCAUUAUGUAUUCAUCAACUUCACCUUCACCUCUGGGCAAUGUCAGUUUCUGUAACAGUGCUCGGUAUCCCGAAGAGGCCCAUCGCAUACUGAACAAUAGCCACUUUCCCCUCACCAUCACAACAAUAGUUGAUAUCCCUGAGAGACCAUCACAUCCAAAACAAUAGUCGCUAUCCCGGAGAUAUCCACCACCUCCUGAAUAGUAGCCGCCAUUCCGGAGAGAUGUAUCGUAUCGUGCUAUGCUAAAGUCUAGAUUGUAAUAACUGUAUAUGCAGAAUAUUUGAAUUAUCAAAAGCUAUGGUAAUUGUUAAUUGCGUAGUAAUUGUACAGUGAAGGUCGCUUGCCAACAUUAUAUGCUCAACUGUGAAAAUCUGAAUACCAGAGUUCGACACAUAUCCAAACUGAGGUGUACCAUGUGGCUGUUGAUUAAUGUGUGCUAUAUAUAGUCCAAUAUACAGUGAUCUGUGAUAUACGCAAUGGAGUGCUAAACUGAAGUUGUAUAUGUAUGUUCCUCAACAACGGUUGUUUUGUCCUCAAAUGUGCAUUGUAGCAGACAUGGC